rnacentral:rRNA from 1 species
GAUGAACGCUGGCGGCGUGCUUAACACAUGCAAGUCGAACGGUGAAGGCGGAGCUUGCUCUGCUGGAUCAGUGGCGAACGGGUGAGUAACACGUGAGCAAUCUGCCCCUGACUCUGGGAUAAGCGCUGGAAACGGCGUCUAAUACUGGAUACGAGCUGCGAAGGCAUCUUCAGCAGCUGGAAAGAACUUCGGUCAGGAAUGGGCUCGCGGCCUAUCAGCUUGUUGGUGAGGUAACGGCUCACCAAGGCGUGGACGGGUAGCCGGCCUGAGAGGGUGACCGGCCACACUGGGACUGAGACACGGCCCAGACUCCUACGGGAGGCAGCAGUGGGGAAUAUUGCACAAUGGGCGAAAGCCUGAUGCAGCAACGCCGCGUGAGGGACGACGGCCUGCGGGUUGUAAACCUCUUUUAGCAGGGAAGAAGCGAAAGUGACGGUACCUGCAGAAAAAGCGCCGGCUAACUACGUG